rnacentral:rRNA from 1 species
UUGGUUAAGUUAGAAAGGGCGCACGGUGGAUGCCUUGGCACUAGGAGCCGAAGAAGGACGGGACUAACACCGAUAUGCUUUGGGGAGCUGUACGUAAGCGUUGAUCCAGAGAUUUCCGAAUGGGGGAACCCACUAUCUUUAGUCGGAUAGUAUCCUUACGUGAAUACAUAGCGUGAGGAAGGCAGACCCAGGGAACUGAAACAUCUAAGUACCUGGAGGAAGAGAAAGAAAAAUCGAUUUCCUGAGUAGCGGCGAGCGAAACGGAAAGAGCCCAAACCAAGAAGCUUGCUUCUUGGGGUUGUAGGACACUCUAUACGGAGUUACAAAAGAAAGUUAUAAAUGAAGCGGUCUGGAAAGGCCCGCCAAAGACGGUAACAGCCCGGUAGUUGAAAUGGCUUUCCCUCCAGAGUGGAUCCUGAGUACGGCGGAACACGUGAAAUUCCGUCGGAAUCCGGGAGGACCAUCUCCCAAGGCUAAAUACUCCCUAGUGACCGAUAGUGAACCAGUACCGUGAGGGAAAGGUGAAAAGCACCCCGGAAGGGGAGUGAAACAGUUCCUGAAACCGUGUGCCUACAAGUAGUUAGAGCCCGUUAAUGGGUGAUAGCGUGCCUUUUGUAGAAUGAACCGGCGAGUUACGAUUUGUUGCAAGGUUAAGCGGAAAAAGCGGAGCCGUAGCGAAAGCGAGUCUGAAUAGGGCGCAUAAGUAACAGGUCGUAGACCCGAAACCAGGUGAUCUACCCAUGUCCAGGAUGAAGGUAAGGUAAUACUUACUGGAGGUCCGAACCCACGCACGUUGAAAAGUGCGGGGAUGAGGUGUGGGUAGCGGAGAAAUUCCAAUCGAACUUGGAGAUAGCUGGUUCUCUCCGAAAUAGCUUUAGGGCUAGCCUCGAGGUAAAGAGUCAUGGAGGUAGAGCACUGUUUGGACUAGGGGCCCUUCUCGGGUUACCGAAUUCAGAUAAACUCCGAAUGCCAUGUACUUAUACUCGGGAGUCAGACUGCGAGUGAUAAGAUCCGUAGUCGAAAGGGAAACAGCCCAGACCACCAGUUAAGGUCCCCAAAUAUAUGUUAAGUGGAAAAGGAUGUGGGGUUGCUUAGACAACCAGGAUGUUGGCUUAGAAGCAGCCACCAUUGAAAGAGUGCGUAAUAGCUCACUGGUCGAGUGACCCCGCGCCGAAAAUGUACCGGGGCUAAACAUAUUACCGAAACUGUGGAUGAACCUCUUUAGAGGUUCGUGGUAGGAGAGCGUUCUAAGGGCGGUGAAGUCAGACCGGAAGGACUGGUGGAGCGCUUAGAAGUGAGAAUGCCGGUAUGAGUAGCGAAAGAAGGGUGAGAAUCCCUUCCACCGAAUAUCUAAGGUUUCCUGAGGAAGGCUCGUCCGCUCAGGGUUAGUCGGGACCUAAGCCGAGGCCGAUAGGCGUAGGCGAUGGACAACAGGUAGAGAUUCCUGUACCAGUGCUAAUUGUUUAACCGAUGGGGUGACACAGAAGGAUAGGGAAUCGCACGAAUGGAAAUGUGCGUCCAAGCAGUGAGUGUGAGAAGUAGGCAAAUCCGCUUCUCGCGAAGCAUGAGCUGUGAUGGGGAAGGAAAUUAAGUACGGAAGUUCCUGAUUUCACGCUGUCAAGAAAAGCCUCUAGGAAGAGUAGUACUGCCCGUACCGCAAACCGACACAGGUAGAUGAGGAGAGAAUCCUAAGGUGAGCGAGAGAACUCUCGUUAAGGAACUCGGCAAAAUGACCCCGUAACUUCGGGAGAAGGGGUGCUCUAUUAGGGUGCAAGCCCGAGAGAGCCGCAGUGAAUAGGCCCAGGCGACUGUUUAGCAAAAACACAGGUCUCUGCAAAACCGUAAGGUGACGUAUAGGGGCUGACGCCUGCCCGGUGCUGGAAGGUUAAGAGGAGUGCUUAGCUUCGGCGAAGGUACGAAUUGAAGCCCCAGUAAACGGCGGCCGUAACUAUAACGGUCCUAAGGUAGCGAAAUUCCUUGUCGGGUAAGUUCCGACCCGCACGAAAGGCGCAACGAUCUGGGCACUGUCUCAACGAGAGACUCGGUGAAAUUAUAGUACCUGUGAAGAUGCAGGUUACCCGCGACAGGACGGAAAGACCCCGUGGAGCUUUACUGCAACCUGAUAUGGAAUGUUUGUACCGCUUGUACAGGAUAGGUAGGAGCCGAAGAGACGUGUGCGCUAGCAUACGAGGAGGCAAUGGUGGGAUACUACCCUGGCUGUAUGACCAUUCUAACCCGCCACGCUUAGCGCGUGGGGAGACAGUGUCAGGUGGGCAGUUUGACUGGGGCGGUCGCCUCCUAAAGAGUAACGGAGGCGCCCAAAGGUUCCCUCAGAAUGGAUGGAAAUCAUUCGCAGAGUGUAAAGGCACAAGGGA